GCCAUGCAUCCAUGCAUGCUACUGUUUACAUAGCAAUGCUAGCUUCAUCAACAGUAUCAGCCAGCUUCUCCUGUUCACUACAGCGUCAAUUUCAUCAUGGGGGUGAUAAAAGAACAGAAUGAAGAAUCCAACUUAUCUGGUUGCCGAUCAAAUCCGAGAUGUUCUACACUGGAGCUGCAAUGAACCCUGCCAGAGCCUUCACCCCUGCUAUGUUCAAGACGAAAAUCAUGAAUCACUGGGUGCACUGGGUGGGUCCCAUGAUCUGUGGUGGUAUGUGCGCAGUCAUGUAUGACUUCAUGCUCUUCCCCAGUAUUUGUGACCUGGCCACCCUGAAAGUCAGCCAGCCUCUGGAGCAGGACACCUGAGGGGAGCCCAUCAAGUUCAAGACCCAGGCCCUAUACCGUAACCCUGUCACCAAGCCAGGGGAAGCAGGGGCCAGCCAGUAUUGUUAUAGUAGCCCCUUACUUCCAGCAAUCCAGCUCUUCUCCUCCCAACAACUCAGCUCUUCUCCUCCCAACAACCCAGCUCUUCUCCUCCCAACAACCCAGCUCUUCUCCUCACAGCGACCCUGCUCUUCUCACAGCAACCCAGCUCUUCUCCUCCCAACAACCCAGAUCUUCUCCUCCCAACAACCCUGCUGUUCUCCUCCCAACAACCCUGCAUUUCUCCUCCCAACA